GAGUUUGAUCCUGGCUCAGAACGAACGCUGGCGGCAGGCCUAACACAUGCAAGUCGAACGAGAAGCCAGAGCUUGCUCUGGUGGAAAGUGGCAGACGGGUGAGUAACGCGUGGGAACCUACCCAGGGGUUCGGAAUAACUCAGGGAAACUUGAGCUAAUACCGGAUACGCCUUGCGAGGGAAAGAUUUAUCGCCCCUGGACGGGCCCGCGUCGGAUUAGUUUGUUGGUGGGGUAACGGCCCACCAAGGCUACGAUCCGUAGCUGGUCUGAGAGGAUGAUCAGCCACACUGGGACUGAGACACGGCCCAGACUCCUACGGGAGGCAGCAGUGGGGAAUCUUGCACAAUGGGCGCAAGCCUGAUGCAGCCAUGCCGCGUGAGUGAAGAAGGCCUUAGGGUUGUAAAACUCUUUCAGCGGGGAAGAUAAUGACGGUACCCGCAGAAGAAGCCCCGGCUAACUCCGUGCCAGCAGCCGCGGUAAUACGGAGGGGGCUAGCGUUGUUCGGAAUCACUGGGCGUAAAGCGCAC
rnacentral:rRNA from 1 species